rnacentral:rRNA from 1 species
UACGUAGGGUCCGAGCGUUGUCCGGAAUUACUGGGCGUAAAGCGCGCGCAGGCGGCCCGCGAGGUGUCACGUGAAAGCCCCGGGCUCAACCCGGGAGGGUCGUGGCAAACCGGCGGGCUUGAGGCCGGUAGAGGUGGGUGGAACUCCUGGUGGAGUGGUGAAAUGCGUAGAGAUCAGGAAGAACACCCGUGGCGAAGGCGGCUUCCUGGACCGGUUCUGACACUGAGGAGCGAAAGCGUGGGGAGCGAUCCGG